CGGACGGGUGAGUAAUGUCUGGGAAACUGCCUGAUGGAGGGGGAUAACUACUGGAAACGGUAGCUAAUACCGCAUAACGUCGCAAGACCAAAGAGGGGGACCGUUAGGGCCUCUUGCCAUCGGAUGUGCCCAGAUGGGAUUAGCUAGUAGGUGGGGUAACGGCUCACCUAGGCGACGAUCCCUAGCUGGUCUGAGAGGAUGACCAGCACACUGGAACUGAGACACGGUCCAG
rnacentral:rRNA from 1 species